GCACUGUUGAAGAGUCCCACAAUAGGACGAAACAUCUUCCAGUAU
rfam:Schistosoma mansoni strain Puerto Rico chromosome 2, complete genome